GGAUGGGUGGCCGAGUGGUUUAAGGCACCGGUCUUGAAAACCGGCGUGGGUGCAAGCUCACCGUGGGUUCGAAUCCCACCCCAUCCGCCA
rnacentral:tRNA from 2 species